rnacentral:sRNA from 1 species
CGCGGAGAUGGAGGAUUUGCUCGACUUGGACGAGGAGCUGCGCUACAGCUUGGCUACCUCCAGGGCCAAGAUGGGUCGCCGAGCUCAACAGGAGUCAGCGCAGGCCGAGAAUCAUCUCAAUGGCAAGAAUUCCUCUUUGACUCUGACUGGAGAGACUUCCUCUCCUAAAUUACCUCGCUGCCGACAGGGAGGCUGGGCAGGUGAUUCCGUGAAGGCUUCGAAGUUUAGGAGGAAGGCUUCUGAAGAAAUAGAAGAUUUUCGCCUCAGACCACAGAGCCUGAAUGGAUCAGAUUAUGGAGGAGCGGUACCCAAACAGGCAAACAACAGCUGGAUCUGAACGCAUGCUAUCACAAAACGCAUCACAGAGAUUUGGGGCUGGCUUCAUUGGAAGAGGCAGAUAUUCCUAUCAUUCCGGAUCUGGAGGAAGUACAGGAAGAAGACUUUGUUUUGCAGGUGGCAGCCCCUCCGAGGUAGGUUAAAUCAGAUAUGAUUGGGGAGGCAAAGAACACGUGAAUUAAUACACUCCAGAUAUCAUCUAUAGUGGACCUUGAUGUCAAUCUGGAUCUUUCUGGUGUUGGGCUCCAUCCAGGGUUCCCAUUUUGUUAUUCCCAUUCUGGUCAUCCCCAGCUGUAUACAAGGUUCUGGGGACGGUGGCCCGGCAGCACUCCUGGAACAGGUCCUGCCUGGGGUUCCCUCCUCUCGCUCUCUCUUUCCUUCAGCAUCCAGAUAAAGCGGGUGAUGACCUACCGUGACCUGGACAAUGACCUCAUGAAGUACUCAGCCAUUCAGACACUGGAUGGGGAGAUCGACCUGAAACUCCUCACCAAAGUGCUCGCGCCGGAGCACGAAGUCCGGGAGGAUGAUGUCGGCUGGGACUGGGACCAUCUGUUCACUGAGGUGUCCUCAGAGGUCCUCACUGAGUGGGACCCACUGCAGACGGAGAAGGAGGACCCUGCAGGGCAGGCCAGGCACACCUGAGCCCGUCACCCAUGCUCUAGACAUGAAGAAAUGCAAUGAGCUUAAAGCUAAAGAAGCUUGUAAGCAGCUCCGAAUUUUUACCUGGAAUAUUUUGUAAUAAAAAUAUUUAUAUUCAGUCAACCAC